rnacentral:rRNA from 1 species
UACGUAGGGUGCGAGCGUUAAUCGGAAUUACUGGGCGUAAAGCGUGCGCAGGCGGUUUUGCAAGCCGGAUGUGAAAUCCCCGGGCUUAACCUGGGAAUGGCAUUUGGGACUGCAAGGCUGGAGUGCGGCAGAGGAGACUGGAAUUCCUGGUGUAGCAGUGAAAUGCGUAGAUAUCAGGAGGAACACCGAUGGCGAAGGCAGGUCUCUGGGCUGACACUGACGCUCAUGCACGAAAAGCGUGGGGGAGCAAACAGG